CAGUCGCCGCGGUAAUACGAAGGGGGCUAGCGUUGCUCGGAAUCACUGGGCGUAAAGGGUGCGUAGGCGGGUCUUUAAGUCAGGGGUGAAAUCCUGGAGCUCAACUCCAGAACUGCCUUUGAUACUGAAGAUCUUGAGUUCGGGAGAGGUGAGUGGAACUGCGAGUGUAGAGGUGAAAUUCGUAGAUAUUCGCAAGAACACCAGUGGCAAAGGCGGCUCACUGGCCCGAUACUGACGCUGAGGCACGAAAGCGUGGGGAGCAAACAGGAUUAGAUACCCCCGUAGUCCCUGUCUCUUAUAC
rnacentral:rRNA from 1 species